rnacentral:antisense_RNA from 1 species
UUUUCUUUAUAUAUGUGGCCUAGCAAUAUCCUGUGUUUGGAAAAGUAUAAACCUAAGGCAUCACCUUUACAGAAAAUAUCUUCCACGGAAACAUCUAAAGGCAAAAAUCCUUCAAAUUCAAAUUUAUCCAAUCAUUUCUUCUGCUUACUACCAUCCUAAAUCAUUUUUCUUUAGUAAGAUCUAUUAGUGGGAAGCUAUUAAGCUAUUAAUGUAUCAUAUUAAUUGUAUUCAGAUAUUAAGUGAGGAGGUAAAGUUGCAUUCACAGGCCUUGAACUUUUCCACAUCUCGAUUUUUACCCAUCAUCUCUGAAUAGUUCCCUAAGGCAGCCUUCAAAUGGUGAUGUUUCUUAUAAUCCAGAGUUCAGAAGUGGCUUCUCUUCAAUCUUUCUGUGGAAUUCUAAACCAUGUGAUAAAGGAGCUGGUGGUCCAUCAUAUGAGGCCACAGAUCAGCCCUGGGGUUCAGAGGGAUCCUGACGGCUACUCCUCAAGAUCCUCUCUGUUGUGAUUCAUCCCCCCCGGGCCCUACAGUUUCUCCUUCCUGACUCUUACAUUUCUUUGGAUGGCAUCAUUAUUUACCUGUCUCCUCCCAUAGUUAGGUGCCAAGCACUGUGGAUUCUGCCCCUCAGUGUCCAGACACCCAUUU